ensembl:lncRNA
UACAUAUUGUCUGUAGUCUACUGUACAUGGUGGAGGAACAUAUUGUCUGUCUGUAGUCUACUGUACAUGGUGGAGGAACAUAUUGUCUGUAGUCUACUGGACAUGAUGGAGGAACAUAUUGUCUGUAGUCUACUGUAUAUGGUUGAGGAACAUAUUGUCUGUAGUCUACUGUACAUGGUGUAGGAACAUAUUGUCUGUAGUCUACUGUACAUGGUGGAGGAACAUAUUGUCUGUAGUCUACUGUACAUGGGAGGAACAUAUUGUCUGUAGUCUACUGUACAUGGUGGAGGAACAUAUUGUCUGUAGUCUA